UAACGCCACAGCUGCCACUGUGGGUGCUUAUUUUACCCUCUUCUCUUGUGGAAUAGAACAGACCACCAGAGACUUGCUCAAACAGCAGCCAAGACCCAAGAAGGGCAAGGCCACUUUGCAGAGUCAGUAACUAAAAUGUCAAAAGAAUAGAAUCUGUAUCUGAGAUCACUCACAUGUAAGACCUUUGUUGAAGCAAGGUGCCACAGCAAAUCCCAAGUAGCAGAACACCCCUGAGGAAACUGAACAUUCGUAUACCAUCUCAUUAGGAGUACCCUUGUGAGUUUUCCAAAAGCAGCCAGGCAAAACCACUAGCUUGGGCUGGGGGUAUAGUUCUGUGGUGCAGCAUUUGUCUAGCAAGUACAAGGCUGUAGGUUAGGAAACAUGUUUAUUCCAUAGUUUGGGAAAUUUUGCAUUUUCCCCCACGUUCUUGGGAAUUCACAUUUCCUACUUGAUCUUAGAAGACCUGAAAAAGUGAACAAAGAAAACUCAAAUUAAUCUAGAAAUUUUUGAAGGAAUUAAAAAAACUUUACAUAUUUUAAGUAUUUAUUAGAUAUUACAUAUUAUAAAAAUACAUAAAAACAGUUCCCACUGAGCCUACUUUGAAUAUGGUGCUAAAUUGCCCAAGAUAAAAGUGAAGGCUGCCCCUGACUGUCACAGUUGAUUGGUGGUGUUACUAAGUGCUCAGAGCCCCGAGCAUUACAGCCUCUGGAGCCAGAGCAUAAUCCUCUUGCUUGGACGACGUGACAGUACCUUCAUGUCUCUGUUCAACUCUGAACAAAUGAUGCAAUCACAGCAGGGAGUCGUGACCUAGAGCCGACCAUGUGCUUGGCUAAAAAUGAGACAGGAAACCAUCCCAGGAAUCUCAUGUGAAAUCCCAGCCUAGUGUUUCUCUACACUAUAAAUAUCUUAUAUAAAUUCUAUAAAUUUGAGACGCCUAGCUGAUUACUAUAGCCUCAGAUCUCUCUUAUCUUGAAAAAGUACUGCAAACAUGAACCUUUAAAUUUUAUCUUGUAGAAAGAACCACCAGCCUUUAGCUACAAGGAAUGAGUCUGUGCCUUCCCUGCACAUGGACCAAGGUGAUAAGAUCCUUCUGCAGAGUCAGUGACCAGCAAGGGGAAGGGCUUAUUUUUUGAAUAUUGAUGAUUCAAAAAAAAAAAAAAAGCCUCUGACUUUGCUAGAAACCAGAAAUCAUUUUCCUAGGAAAAUUGAUUUGCGAAUUCUUACUUGAUGGUUCAGCUUUAAAUUUCAUUAGAAAAUGGGAAGGUCGCCAGCUAGUGAACUUUUUACCUGAUUAGCUUCUGUCCUAGUUAGCUUCAGCUGUCAGAUUGACACAGCCCAGAGUCAUCUGAACAAGGCUCAGUUCAGAGAUUGCCCAGAUCAGAUUGGCCUGUGGCCAUGUCUGUGUGAGACUGUCCUGACUGAUGUAGAAGGCCCAGCCCACGCCUAGGCAACCCCAUGCAGAGGUAAGCGAGUCUUAGCUAUAUAAGGGAAGCUGGCUGUGUGAAUUUUCCUGUUGUUCCCAUACUGAACCCUUGCCUGACUUUCCACAGUGAUAGGCUGGGACCUAGACAUUAUAAGUCAAGUAGCCCUUUCCCACCAAGUUGCUUUUGGUCAGUGUUCUAUCUCAGCAUCAGAAAACAGGCUAGCAUCCCUUUUGCGAUGGCUUGGCUUGCCAACUCAAGCAGCACUCUUCCCUGUGUUUGCAUCCACAGUUCACCUUGUAGGGAAAGCAGCUUGUUACACCCACAACACGAAAAUGUCUGCUCUUCAUAGCUGCAGCCUGUACAUUACUCACACAAAAGUGAAAUCUGAAAUGCUUCAGACUCCAACAUGAGGCCACAAGUAGAAGACUCCACCUUUGCUACUUCAUUAAACUAUUAACGUAUUAAAAUUAUUGUUUUAUUAUACAAAAGAACCGUCACCCUAAGGAUUAGUCCACUCUUGAAACAUAAACUUUAGGUUUAGACUUGGUUUCCUCCCCAGUUAACCUCAUUGGGUAAAUGCAGAUAGUCCCCAGACUGAAGAAACUUAAAAUCACAAACAUUUAAGGUAGGCCACACUUGAUCUAUGAGCAACUGAGAGGGUGGAUUUUCCCCCCACACUCCAUACCUCUGAUGGUCCUACUGGUUUAGAACAGAGGUGUCUCAUGAAAUUAUAAAGUUGAAAGCUUUUUGUCUUAGCUGAGGGUAUUCCAUACAACUGGAAAAUGUUCACCGACACUACCAAGCCUUAAAUCUUAGCCUCUUCACUCUCGUAGCAGGCAUUAGUCUGAGUAUAAAACUGCCUUCCUUGCCGGCUGAGCUGCCUUGUUCACGUCUGUGCCUGUGCUUUUUGCCCAGCAUGGCACCUCCCUCCUCCCUCUUUCAUGUCUGGGUACUUGUCUCCCAGACAUUCACCUCACUCUCUUAGCUAGGCUGAGUGAGUCAGGACAAACAUAAAAACGAUAAAGACUCCCUGGAGGGAAGCGAGUGAGGGUAUUUUGAGUGUCUUCAGCAGGGAAAUGGGGUAAACACCCUCCUCUCCUGUGACCACGAGUGCCAAGUUGCUACAUUUCUAGGAAAGAGAGUACAGAUGUUGACCUCAUCUGGAAAGGUUAAUAAUUACAUGCCUUCAGAUUCUCUAGAGAACUACAUGCAAAUGACUACUUGUUUAUCUUUCACCUUACCUCAAAGUAGUUUCCUUCUUGUAAUUGUAUCCGCAGACAUUCCGUGCUAAAUCAAAGCAGUAGGUUCCUAACGGUUUUAUAGUAUUCUGGCAUCUUGGAUUCAUUUAUAUGUGCAGUUCAUUCCUGGGCUUUUAUCCCUGAAAGUGUUUCUGUUCACACCGUCCCCACUUUCCCCACCAAGCCCUGGAAGGGAACCAGAUCAGCGGCAGCAAUAUCAUAAAUAUUUGAAAGGGGAAGCGACAGUUUUUCCUUUUUCAUUUAACUCUGGAAUAUAAAUAUGAAUUCUGAGCAUUGAGUCACAACAAAACAGUGUUUUAACAAGCUUGCCACCACUGCAGCAAAAUAGAUCUGAGGCACCAACCCGUAAGGAUAAAAAGGUUCUUUUGACUCAGAGUUAUAAAGGGCCCUCCUUGGAGUGGGGGUGCUGCUGUCAAGUGAGGCACAGAGAGGAAGAGCUCAAUGCCACAAUGUCUCCUUGACAGGCAGGCCCACAGGGGCUGCCCACAGGGGCCCACAGGGGCUGAAGAACCACCCAAAGCUCCCACUCUUCCAAACUUCACCAGGCUAGGGACCAAGUCCCGGACACAUGGACCUUUGCAGACACUCAGCUCAAACUGUAAUAGUAAGACAGUAGGCACUUUCUCUCUGUUUUUGGUUUCUAAACAUGCUCCCCAGUAAAAGGAAUAAAGUUUUUUAAAUAGUAAAGGCAAGGUAUAACGAGGAUGGAGGAGGCCGCUGGAAGAGCAGAAAAAGGAAGGAAGAUGGAGAUCAGGAAGCCUUGAGUGUGUGGUCCCAAUAGACAUCUCCAGGAGUGGGGCACAGCAGACCUGGUGACCCAAAGGGAUCUCAGCAUCUCUUCAGUGGUAUUGCCUGCCCUGAACCAGGUCCUGGAUAUGUUCUACUGAACAGCCAGAGCUCUUCAGGACUUUUUAGACCAUAGAAAAGUCCCAGGAAAUAAAGACCUACAGAGUAAGAGACCUAAUGGGGUACAGCUCUGUCCAAGCGGGGCCCAUGAAUUAGACAGUCAUGUGGGCCACUGAGAAUUCCCUGCUGUUGAUCAUUGAACUAGAGUUAUAUAAGAAUGUUUCCAGUUUAAAAAAAAUCACAUAGUCUAGCAGACCCCAGUAGACAGAGAAGAGAAUGGAAAGAUGAGCAAGUAAAUGAGGCCAGAGGCUGCUAUUAGGGAACCCUGAUGAAGCACAUACAGAAAUCUAUACUACUUAAACAUCUGUGCAAGUGUCAAAGUAUUACAAAAUAAGAUGUUCAACC
rnacentral:lncRNA from 1 species